rnacentral:rRNA from 1 species
GGUUAAGCGACUAAGCGUACACGGUGGAUGCCCUGGCAGUCAGAGGCGAUGAAGGACGUGCUAAUCUGCGAUAAGCGUCGGUAAGGUGAUAUGAACCGUUAUAACCGGCGAUUUCCGAAUGGGGAAACCCAGUGUGUUUCGACACACUAUCAUUAACUGAAUCCAUAGGUUAAUGAGGCGAACCGGGGGAACUGAAACAUCUAAGUACCCCGAGGAAAAGAAAUCAACCGAGAUUCCCCCAGUAGCGGCGAGCGAACGGGGAGCAGCCCAGAGCCUGAAUCAGUGUGUGUGUUAGUGGAAGCGUCUGGAAAGGCGCGCGAUACAGGGUGACAGCCCCGUACACAAAAAUGCACAUGCUGUGAGCUCGAUGAGUAGGGCGGGACACGUGGUAUCCUGUCUGAAUAUGGGGGGACCAUCCUCCAAGGCUAAAUACUCCUGACUGACCGAUAGUGAACCAGUACCGUGAGGGAAAGGCGAAAAGAACCCCGGCGAGGGGAGUGAAAAAGAACCUGAAACCGUGUACGUACAAGCAGUGGGAGCACGCUUAGGCGUGUGACUGCGUACCUUUUGUAUAAUGGGUCAGCGACUUAUAUUCUGUAGCAAGGUUAACCGAAUAGGGGAGCCGAAGGGAAACCGAGUCUUAACUGGGCGUUAAGUUGCAGGGUAUAGACCCGAAACCCGGUGAUCUAGCCAUGGGCAGGUUGAAGGUUGGGUAACACUAACUGGAGGACCGAACCGACUAAUGUUGAAAAAUUAGCGGAUGACUUGUGGCUGGGGGUGAAAGGCCAAUCAAACCGGGAGAUAGCUGGUUCUCCCCGAAAGCUAUUUAGGUAGCGCCUCGUGAAUUCAUCUCCGGGGGUAGAGCACUGUUUCGGCAAGGGGGUCAUCCCGACUUACCAACCCGAUGCAAACUGCGAAUACCGGAGAAUGUUAUCACGGGAGACACACGGCGGGUGCUAACGUCCGUCGUGAAGAGGGAAACAACCCAGACCGCCAGCUAAGGUCCCAAAGUCAUGGUUAAGUGGGAAACGAUGUGGGAAGGCCCAGACAGCCAGGAUGUUGGCUUAGAAGCAGCCAUCAUUUAAAGAAAGCGUAAUAGCUCACUGGUCGAGUCGGCCUGCGCGGAAGAUGUAACGGGGCUAAACCAUGCACCGAAGCUGCGGCAGCGACACUAUGUGUUGUUGGGUAGGGGAGCGUUCUGUAAGCCUGUGAAGGUGUGCUGUGAGGCAUGCUGGAGGUAUCAGAAGUGCGAAUGCUGACAUAAGUAACGAUAAAGCGGGUGAAAAGCCCGCUCGCCGGAAGACCAAGGGUUCCUGUCCAACGUUAAUCGGGGCAGGGUGAGUCGACCCCUAAGGCGAGGCCGAAAGGCGUAGUCGAUGGGAAACAGGUUAAUAUUCCUGUACUUGGUGUUACUGCGAAGGGGGGACGGAGAAGGCUAUGUUGGCCGGGCGACGGUUGUCCCGGUUUAAGCGUGUAGGCUGGUUUUCCAGGCAAAUCCGGAAAAUCAAGGCUGAGGCGUGAUGACGAGGCACUACGGUGCUGAAGCAACAAAUGCCCUGCUUCCAGGAAAAGCCUCUAAGCAUCAGGUAACAUCAAAUCGUACCCCAAACCGACACAGGUGGUCAGGUAGAGAAUACCAAGGCGCUUGAGAGAACUCGGGUGAAGGAACUAGGCAAAAUGGUGCCGUAACUUCGGGAGAAGGCACGCUGAUAUGUAGGUGAAGUCCCUCGCGGAUGGAGCUGAAAUCAGUCGAAGAUACCAGCUGGCUGCAACUGUUUAUUAAAAACACAGCACUGUGCAAACACGAAAGUGGACGUAUACGGUGUGACGCCUGCCCGGUGCCGGAAGGUUAAUUGAUGGGGUCAGCGCAAGCGAAGCUCUUGAUCGAAGCCCCGGUAAACGGCGGCCGUAACUAUAACGGUCCUAAGGUAGCGAAAUUCCUUGUCGGGUAAGUUCCGACCUGCACGAAUGGCGUAAUGAUGGCCAGGCUGUCUCCACCCGAGACUCAGUGAAAUUGAACUCGCUGUGAAGAUGCAGUGUACCCGCGGCAAGACGGAAAGACCCCGUGAACCUUUACUAUAGCUUGACACUGAACAUUGAGCCUUGAUGUGUAGGAUAGGUGGGAGGCUUUGAAGUGUGGACGCCAGUCUGCAUGGAGCCGACCUUGAAAUACCACCCUUUAAUGUUUGAUGUUCUAACGUUGACCCGUAAUCCGGGUUGCGGACAGUGUCUGGUGGGUAGUUUGACUGGGGCGGUCUCCUCCUAAAGAGUAACGGAGGAGCACGAAGGUUGGCUAAUCCUGGUCGGACAUCAGGAGGUUAGUGCAAUGGCAUAAGCCAGCUUGACUGCGAGCGUGACGGCGCGAGCAGGUGCGAAAGCAGGUCAUAGUGAUCCGGUGGUUCUGAAUGGAAGGGCCAUCGCUCAACGGAUAAAAGGUACUCCGGGGAUAACAGGCUGAUACCGCCCAAGAGUUCAUAUCGACGGCGGUGUUUGGCACCUCGAUGUCGGCUCAUCACAUCCUGGGGCUGAAGUAGGUCCCAAGGGUAUGGCUGUUCGCCAUUUAAAGUGGUACGCGAGCUGGGUUUAGAACGUCGUGAGACAGUUCGGUCCCUAUCUGCCGUGGGCGCUGGAGAACUGAGGGGGGCUGCUCCUAGUACGAGAGGACCGGAGUGGACGCAUCACUGGUGUUCGGGUUGUCAUGCCAAUGGCACUGCCCGGUAGCUAAAUGCGGAAGAGAUAAGUGCUGAAAGCAUCUAAGCACGAAACUUGCCCCGAGAUGAGUUCUCCCUGACCCUUUAAGGGUCCUGAAGGAACGUUGAAGACGACGACGUUGAUAGGCCGGGUGUGUAAGCGCAGCGAUGCGUUGAGCUAACCGGUACUAAUGAACCGUGAGGCUUAACCUU